rfam:Camelus ferus unplaced genomic scaffold scaffold1413, whole genome shotgun sequence.
GGGAAUAUAGCUCAGUGGUAGGGCACAUGCAUAGCACUGGUGAGGUCCUGGGUUCAAUCCCCAGUACCCCCA